UAACAAAAACAUGUCUUUUUGAAUUUAAAUAUAAAGUCUAAUCUGCCCACUGAUAAAUUAUUUAAUGGCCGCAGUAUUUUAACUGUGCAAAGGUAGCAUAAUAAUUAGUCUUUUAAUUGAAGGCUUGUAUGAAUGAUUGGACGAGAUAUAAACUGUCUCAUAAAAAUUUUUUUUAGAAUUUAAUUUUUUAGUUAAAAAGCUAAAAUAAAUUUAAAAGACGAGAAGACCCCAUAGAUCUUUAUAUUUGUUUUAUUAUUAUUGUUAUUUAGUUUUUUUAUAAAUUAAUAAAUAAAAAUAUUUUGUUGGGGUGACAUUGAAAUUUAAUAAACUUUCAAAAAUUUAAUAACAUUGAUUUAUGAAUUUAUGGUCCUUUAUUAUUGAUUAAAAAUUUAAGUUACCUUGGGGAUAACAGCGUAAUUAUUUUGGAGAGUUCAUAUCGAUAAAAUAGAUUGCGACCUCGAUGUUGGAUUAAGAUUAAUUUUAGAUGUAGCAGUUAAAAUAUAA
rnacentral:rRNA from 1 species